AUAACAUCUGAAGAGUCCCAAGCAAAACGAAACGCGCGUCCUGUAU
rnacentral:hammerhead_ribozyme from 1 species